rfam:Penicillium brasilianum genome assembly, contig: SCAF2
GCGCCGAUAGUCCAGUGGUUAGGAUCCUUCCUUCCCAGAUUUGUAAAAGGAAGGGGCCCGGGUUCGAACCCCGGUCGGCGCA